AUGCUUCUGUUUCGAGCCAUGGGAUUUAGAAUCCCUAGACCUAUUUCCUAUUCCUCCGAGCUCCUUUUUCGAACCGUGUCAAAUAUGGAUUGAGUGUUGAUUUGCCUUAAACUACAAGAUAUGAUGGAUAUAUCACUUGAGAGGUCUUCUCAUUUAAGGCGCUUGAAGAAAAUUAGGGGUGGGGUUUAGUUUCCUUUUUCGACCAAAUGUAUUUCCCCCUUUUUAAUGUCACAUACUAUUUGUUUAUAACAUUGCCUUCAGAUUUAAUUAAUCGUAAUUUGAAUUUACAGAUUUUAUUAUUAU